rnacentral:tRNA from 1 species
UGGCUCAGUUGGUAGAGCAUGAUGCUUGCAACGCUCAGGGUUGUGGGUUCAAUUCCCAC